rnacentral:rRNA from 1 species
GGAUGCGAUCACACUAGCACUAAAGCAGCGGGUCCCAUUAGAACUCCGAAGUUUUAGCGUGGUUGGGCGAGAGUAGUACUAGGAUGGAUGACCUCCUGGGAUGUCCUCGUGUUGCAUCCC